UUUAUCAUCAAGGAAAAGUCAGAUUUUUUCCUUUUUAGGCUAUAAAUUUUAGUACUGAUUGGCCACAUGAAAUGUUUUUCAUAGGCUAAACUUGCUUCUGUUUUUUACUUUAUCUUAUUUUAUUUUAUUUUAUUUUGUUCAAUUUUCAUAAUGUUAUGCAUUAAAUACAGGCAGCAAGGCUGAAACCAAAAAGUAUACAAGAUAUCCAAAAUACAAAAUUAUGGAUCUCCUUGAGGGAAGCGAAUUAUUUCAAGCGCAAUCCCACUUGUAUAAGCAUGUAUUCAACUACAUAAAUUCCAUGUCUCUCAAAUGCGCAGUUGAGCUUGGCAUACCUGACAUAAUCCACAACCAUGGCCGACCCAUCACUCUCCCUGAUUUGGUCACAGCACUGGAGAUUCACCCUUCAAAAACUAGCUUCGUUUACAGGCUCAUGUCCCUCUUGGUACACUCCGGUUUCUUUGCUGCAACACUACCACUUGAUACAAAUCAAGAAAAAGGAGAUCACAAUGAAGAAGAAGAAGCAGCAUAUGAUCUCACCCCUUCUUCUAGGCUCCUCCUGAAAGAUAAGCUCCCCUGCCUGUCACCGUUUGUUCUUGCACUACUUGAUCCUUGUUUGACUACUCCAUGGCAAUUCAUGGGAAAUUGGUUUAAAGGGGACAGAGGGACUACUCCAUUUGAGAGUACACACGGUAUGCAAUUUUGGGAAUAUGCAGACCACAAUCCUGCAUAUAACAGCCUAUUCAAUGAAGCAAUGGCCUGUGAUUCUGAGAUGUUGAAAUUGGUUAUUAAAGACUGCAGACCUGUGUUCCAAGCUUGGGUUCGCUGGUUGAUGUAGGAGGUGGUACAGGAAAAUUUGCUAGGAUCAUCACCGAGACAUUCCCUCAGUUGAAGUGCACAGUGCUUGAGCUACCCCAUGUGGUUGCUAAUUUACCAGACACCCAAAACUUGAAGUUUAUUGCAGGUGAUAUGUUUCAGUCUAUUCCUUCAGCUGAUGCUCUUCUGCUUAAGUUGACUUUGCACUCGGAUAGCGACGAGGAAUGCUUGAAGAUUCUGAAGAAAUGCAGAGAAGCAAUUCCAAGCGAUGGAGGAAAGGUUAUUGUCAUAGAUAUAGUGAUUAAUAAGAAUGAAGAUGAGCACCAAGUGACUGGGACAAAGCUUUUGAUCGACGUGAUGAUGAUGUCUGCAGCUACUGGAAGAGAGAGAAGCCAGAGAGAUUGGGAAAAGCUUUUCUUGGGGUCUGGUUUCAGUCGCUACAACUUAUCACCCAUCUUUGGUUUAAAGUCUCUAAUUGAGAUUGGGCACACCAGGAAAAAAAAGGAAACGAAAAAAAGUUAUGGGUUUCGAAAAGCAGAACCUGGAUUUGUUCCUAGCCCCAAGCGGAUUGUUCCUCAUGUUUUCCUACCAUACCUUCCUACUCUACAGAUGUCUGCAUCUUCCUCAUACCACUGUCAUUGGCUACGAAAACAAUGACAAGAAAGCUUGGGUUGAUAGAGUUAUGCAGGUGGAUAAAAGAGAUGUUGGCACAGCUCUAUCGGUGAUCCAAUCAAACACAUCUGCAGCAACAUUUCUAUGUUCAGUCUCUCUGACCCUCAGUUCUCUUAUUGGUACUUGGCUCGGAAGCUCAUCGAAAGAUAGCAUCU